CAUGAAGGAGGACAGGAUUAACAAUGCAGAUGUGAUCCUGUAUCCAGACAUCUGCAGUGACUUCAAAGGAUUGCCGUCUGGUGUCAGAGAAGGGAGGUCCUGGGUUCAAAACUAACCUCAAACACUUCCUAGCUCUGUGACCCUGAGCAAAUUACUUAAUCCCCAUUGCCUGGCCCUUACCACUCUUUCAGUAUUGAUUCUAAGACAAAAGGUAAGGAUUAAAGAGA
rnacentral:lncRNA from 1 species